UUUCAUCUCGCCAACAUGCCCAUGGUCUC
rnacentral:piRNA from 1 species